GAUGAACGCUGGCGGAGUGCCUAAUACAUGCAAGUCGAUCGGCAGCGCGAGUAGUUUACUACUUGGCGGCGAGCGGCGGACGGCUGAGUAACGCGUGGGAACGUGCCCCAAAGUGAGGGAUAACCACCCGAAAGGGUGGCUAAUACCGCAUAUGAUCUUCGGAUUAAAGGAUUUAUCCGCUUUGGGAGCGGCCCGCGUACGAUUAGAUUGUUGGUGAGGUAAUGGCUCACCAAGUCGACGAUCGUUAGCUGGUCUGAGAGGAUGAUCAGCCAGACUGGGACUGAGACACGGCCCAGACUCCUACGGGAGGCAGCAGUAAGGAAUCUUCCACAAUGGGGGCAACCCUGAUGGAGCAACUCCGCGUGCAGGACGAAGGCCUUCGGGUCGUAAACUGCUUUUAUGAGUGAAGAAUAUGACGGUAACUCAUGAAUAAGGAUCGGCUAACUACGUGCCAGCAGCCGCAGUAA
rnacentral:rRNA from 1 species